UGAAAUGUGCUCUCUCUCAGCAGUGCAGAGCCAAGAGUCUGUUUAUAAAAGGGCCUGGAAACGUCUCUACAGUAAGAGGCACAUUCAUGUUCCUUUCAGCUGGUAAAGCCACCCUGGAGGCUGAACCAUCAUUGCCCAUGCAAAGAACUUUGAUUUAACUUCAUUUCCUUCCACCCCUGGCUUCACCGUCAGAACAGUAUUCUAGGAGAUGUCAGACAGGCAGCGGACAAGCAAGGAUGGCCUUCUGGACGAGAACAAACCUUCCCUACAUGUCUGCAGACUAAAACAACCUUUUCAGAUGGGUGAUGGGUCCUCCAGAAGAAUAGUGAGUCAACUUAAACACUGGAUAUGAACCACAACAGAAGACUCAGAUGUACACGGAUAACAAGUAAAGCACUACAGACUUGGAUAAAAGCCUCUAGUUAAUCACUAACAGAAGCCUCACGUGCGAGCUCCAAUUCAACUCCCAACGCCUGUCUAUCUCUCCCUGGGCAAGACAUUCUGUCACUUCUAUUGGUGAGCGGCAGCUCAGGCCUCGCUCCCUCAUUAUGACCACUGCAAAGCUGCUGCUCUGGUCCUUUGUUCUGGAAGUUUCUCCUACAGCCUCUUCUGUCCUCCUCCCUCUGGGCAGACAGGAAUGGACAUGUUUCUGUGUGUCAGUAUAAACUGAGUGACCUUGACAUUCAAUGAUUCUAUGAGUACUUGAUAAGCUUAUCACAUGAAUAAAUAAUUUGUAAUAAAAUGGAUUCUAAAAACAACAACAAAAGGGCCAAAGAUUUCUAAAGUCCAUGGAAUUUACUUAAUGUCUCCUAAGAAACAAAAGCACACUUUCAUAGCCCAACCUUCAGGCAUUUUCAUGCCCACUUGUUCUUUGUCUUUCUAGUUCUUCUAGGAAACAUAUAGGUAUCCUUAUUUUCCAACAAAGCAUGAAGAAGUGGAAUUAUUUCCCCAAGGAGACAUGGCAAGGUAAAGCCAUGAUGCCCUAGGCUGUGUUCUCUUCACUGAACCACGCUAAAAAAUGAGGACGGUGCCAUGAGGAUGUUUAUGUAAUUUCAGUUUAAGACAGGCUCUGUCUGUGUAAGAAUUUUAGCUCUCAGGGAAAUUUUGAUUAAACACACCCUGAAUUACAGCUAUUCAAUUGCAAAGAUGGGCAUAGGUCAGUGAACAUAUACAAUGAUUAACCAAGAAUUUUAAUUUAGAAUUCAAAUUUCCUUUUACAAACAGAGUGAUAAAUAUAACAUUUCCCACAAUUUUCCCCCCUCCUGUCUCACUCUCAAUUUGCAGGGUGACAAUUAUUUAGGCCAUGCUCACAGAGUAGACUCGGUAGGACAUGGUCUGUAUUCUACUGCCAUCACAAGGCCUGGGAGCAGCUCAUGUUGCUAACUUUCAUUAACACAUCCACAAAUUUAUAUAUUAAAAAGCUGCCUAAAUUUGUUAACGCACAUCUUUGUAAAUUUCAAGUUAUAAAUGAUGGCUGGAUCACUUUUUUUUUUUAAAGCCUGACUGUAUUUCAAACUGGGGAGUGGGGCGAUUGAAGUAACCAGGAAGCUACUUGUAGCCUAUCAGAAAGAAGAAGUGCGUUAGUUAGGCAAGCAGGCCUGGCAGCGUACAGAGAAGAACUGAAGGUGCACUAGGAAUCCAGCCUUAUCCAGGAUCCAGGCAUCAGAAAAGAGAUGCUCUGCACUGAGCUGUGGUGGGUACCUAGAGAAGACAGACUUCCAGAAUUAAAAACAACUCCCAAGAAUACCUGUUAAAUUUCAAUCUUCUAAAAUGUAGCAAAAAGAAAAAAAUUAUGGAGAAGUCCACUUUUACUAGGUCACAUAUUGCCCAACAGUGUCUUCUUCCAAAAUGGUUUUGUCUACUAGUGAGAAGACACGGGAGAUGGAGAGAUGCAAUUAGUGUGGCCAAAAUAACGCUUGCCUACUGCCCAACUUCUUUUAAGAUUAAGUUUCUGCCUCGGGUGGGGCUUUCCUGAUGGUCACUGCUGAAGAGGAAGCUGCAGCAGCCUGCCAUGUCUGGGCACACACAAUCAUGGGGACAGCUUGGCUGUGACGACUGAGCAGCAUCUGCUCAGGUGCCAGCACCCUUCCUAGCCACACUUAGAGACGCUGCAGCCCACACUGCCCUCUGCAUUCUCAGACGCCACGAAUGACGUUUCUCCUGCCCUUGCCAACUCUUCCCGGAAGGUAUGUUAUGGGGUGAUCAUUUCUGGAGUGAAUUUAGGACUCUGAGGAGAAAUGUGGUCUGCUGGCUCCCAAAGACAAGACAAACUAGAAAGGGCAUUGUUAUUCUUACUUGGUGGAAACUGGUGAUGUCUCAAAUAUUAAAUGGCUUCGUUUUCUUGUCAAUACAA